ACUCUUAUCAUUUCACGCAGGGGAGAGAGAGAGAGAGAGAGAGAGAAUCGGACGGAGAAGAAGAGAGGAAGAGGAGUUAGGAUUUGAAGCCGUUUAUCUUGAAUUAAGGUAACAAGCCGGUCAAAUAGGAGGUGCCGAAACCGUAAGUUUGGUGUAUAACUCGGUCGAUGCAAAGGUGAGUGUGUCUGAUAUGGUUCUUCUCAAUAAGAUAUUGCUAUUGUUGUAUGUAUAUAUCUUGCUAAUGGUGUUUUAGCUUUCAAUAUGAUUAUUGAUAUGUAAAUAAUGCGGUGGAGGUGAUUAUAUAUCAAUGAUAUCAUGCUAAUCGAGGUUUAGCUAUUGAUAUGGAUAUAUGUGAUGGAAAUUUGUAUACCAUGCUAUAUGUUGUCUUAGCUAAUGGUAUGCAUGCUUGUUGUAUGUUGAUUGUACCCGCGAAAGGAUUGUGGAGUGAGUCACACCAUAUCGUGGGCCGUGCCGUCUAAUUAACGGUGAAUGGGAGUGUGGUGUGCGGGACACAAUUCCUUGGGUACAUGGGAUGUGGCAGACGUGCCACUGUGUGUUGGUGUUUAUACAUGUGGUUAUACGAUUGAGUACUUAUGUUGAGUUUCGUGUGAUUUACAUUCAUGCCGUUAUUGUUAUGGGGUUGUUUAUUGAAUAAUAUUGCUAUGUUUGGCAGAUGUGGUGGUUAUAACUAAUGUACUCAUAUGGGUAUUGCAGUUAUGUUGGUGGUGAAUAUUCUUAUUGAUAUUCUUUUGGGUAUUGUGACAUUUUAUUGAGCAUUUCUAUAUCUCACACACUCUGGCUUUCCUUUUUGGACUGCCAGGUAGCAGGUGGCUUAGAGUGGGUCCACUACUGGUCAACGCUUUGGAGAGUGCUGAGACUAGUCUCGGGUGAUGUCGUUGGUUAGAUUGUUGUGUACCUGAUUCGUCUAGAAGUUAACCUAAAUGUUUGUAAUUAAUUGGAGUGAGGGAUAUUUAUUAUAACUUGUGAGUUGAGGUUUUGGGCGUUGACUUGGUUGUAUUUUAAGUAAGAAGUCUUCCGCUAAUUUGUAUUCUGAUUGGUUGUAGAGUGUGGUGUGGUCUAUUGUGUGGAAUUUCACGUGGCCGCGCUGACUCGGGCCCACUCUGGGUGCCGUUUGCGGGGCGGGGCGUGACAGGUUGGUAUCAGAGCUAGUACGUUCUAGUCUCUGUGUUGAGAGUCGAUUGGGAAUUUUGGUAGUGGACCAUAGGUUGUUGUUACUGUCGAGAAGGAGUUAGUGGGUGGCUAUCGUGGGAGUAUUUAAUACUUAGCACUAUGUUUGUUGUUGGUGGUUUGAGUUGUUAAAGCAGGUUAUUGAUAUGGCUCAGUUCAAGGAGCAACAAAUGGUAAUUCUUCCAUGGCAGAUUGUGCUGGCACUGACGGUGUCUUAUGUGGGCCGUGUUUUGUGUGUUAGAAGUAAAGGGAUUGGAGGGUUCAUGACGUUAUGGAGAGUAUGUGCUUAUGCAUGUCAAAGGAACUCAGACUUUGUCGGAUAUGGUUAUGAGGUAUUUUCAAUAUUGAAUUACGUUGGGUGUAAGUAACAGUAGAUGUUGUGUUAAACUUAUUUACUGUAUUAUCAAUGCAUAAUAUGCACUUGGUUGUAUUGUUAUGUAGUAUGUCAAUCUUGCUAUAUCGUAAGUUAUCGUAAGUUGGCGGUGGGAAGAUUCUUAAGAGUUUGAGAGGUACGUGCUAGAGAUGGUUCAUUUUGAAUUUGGAAGGUUAGUGUCAAAGUUGUGGGUUUUGUGGUGAAUUUUGAAAGAUAUUGAAAAAAAAGGGGGUGUGUGUGUGUAUGUGGCAGUAGCAUGGCUUCAUUGGUGUGUGAUUGGGUAUGUGUAUGAUUUGUGCAUGCUAAGAGGAUGAUACUCACAUAGAGAUAUAUGUAUUGCUAGAAAGUUUAAAAUGAUUGUUAUCCGUUCAUGGUGUGGAAAGUGUUAAAUGUGUAAAAAUUGAAAACUUUUGGAAUGUGUUAAACGUGUGUAGAGAAUGUUAAACUUUCUAAAUGAAGUGGAUUUAUUGAGUAUGUACACAUCUAGUGUGGUAAUAUUCUGGGCAUAACGCCUAAAGAAAUGUUAAGGGGAUAUGAAUACUUCUGUUUAGUUGAAAAGAUCAAAUACGGUGGAAGUUGAAAAUUUUACAGAUAGUGGUUUCGUGUUGCGUUGAGCUUGGUGUAUUUGGUUAUAACAUUACUUAUGGAAAUUUGAAUAAGUAGUGAGUAUGUAUCUAUAUACUACUUGCAUCUGGUUGUGUAUGCGAACAUGGCUAGUAUGGUAUUAUGGAUGUGGUAUGUGGUAUAUCGUUGAAAAGUUAAAAGCACGUACGGAAGGGUUUCGUAUUCUUUGGAAAAUGUUAGAAACUACACUUGAUAGUCAUAGAAAAUAAAUUCAUAUUUGGUGUUGGAAAUGACCGAAAUGAAUGUUUAUGUAUAUGUGAAACAUAAUGGUUUAGUGUUACGUGAAGAUGGUUUUAUUGGUUCUAUAUGAACUAGUUUGUGAUUGUGGUUAUCUUUUGGGAGAUAAGUGUUGGUGAGUAUUUCUAUGUCUUAUUUCAUGUACAGAUGAGUUGGAAAACUUUAGUGAGUUAGUUGUCAAAUGUAGCGAUAAGGAAUGAGAUGAGAAUAUUUGGGGUAUUAGUUGUUGGAGGUGGAGUAGGUAGGGGCGAUAGUGUGUUUAAUGGUUGAAUUUGUGAGUUGGGAAUCGCAUGUUGGGCGAAUGAGAUCAAACAGAAGGGGAAAUCAGCUACAAAUGGUAACUGUGAAUGUUGGGAUGCUACAAGGGUGAGCUAUGGUUGGGAUUGUUCGGUUAACAAGUUGAAAUGAUACAAGUCUGGGGAAAUACAAAUCAGGUCGGGAUUGAAUUGUGUUGAGAGAAUGGGCAAUGCCUAUAAGCAGUUGCAGUGGUCAGAUGGAAAAUGGGAUAACUUCGCAGAAGUGAAACUGGGGCAGAGUGUUGGUGUUAUUGAAAACCAUUCGGAGAGAAUGGAACAGGUAUAACUUUAUUGUUGUUUAAUGUGAUAACAUGUUCAUGUAUUAUGGCUUCGUGUCAGAGUCAGUCCAGUCGACUGGAGUGUCAGUGGUGUUGUGAUGAAAUAGGCAACGUGCCUAUCAAAUCACGACACGUCUUGCAUAUUGUCAUAUUCGCAUGCCAUCAAUGAUAUAUAUAUUGUGGACUAACCUUGUUUUGAAGGGACACGUUACAACAGAACUGAGUUUGGAUUUCUGGAACAGAAUUCGGGAGUGGUGCUGGGUUGACAAUGAGACGUGGAACAGUGUUGAAAUUUUGGUUGUGAUGGAAUGAUGGAAAGGGCGUUGGGGUUUAUGAGGGAAUGCAUAGAGGAAGUAGAUUAAGGGAAGCAUAGGUGAUUGUUACGGUCAGAUGUGAAAUUUUAAGUGAUAGUUGAGAUACGAUGGUAGUAAGUUUUGUGAUGAGUUGAAGGUUAGGAAGAUUAGGUGGGUUGUUGAUUCGUGUUAGUAUGUGUUGGGAUGGAUCGUAUACUAGUAUAUACAAAUUUCUUGAGGUGUUGUUUGUGUGUGAUGGAUGUGCUUGUUUGGUGUACCUAAGUGAUAAAAAGGUUAGUGGAGCAUGAUCAUAUAAUAUGCAUAUAAUAUUGUUUCAAGAUCGAUGUUUGUUGGUGUAUCAAGUAGUGUGAUUAUGCUAAUUGAUAGUAUGAGGUUAAAACUUAAUUUUCCUAAGAAGUUUAUACUCAUGUUUUGAGAGUGUGUGGUGGUAUGGGAGUCAUGAGAGUUUAUUAAGUUGGUGCUGAUGUUGAGAUUGCGUUAUAUUGAUUUUAACGAGAGUUUGGGAGUUUUGGUUGGAAUUUACCCUAUUAAAGGAUAAGCUUAUAAAUUUCCUACGGUGGAAUUGUGUGAAGAUGAAAGUGGUUUUGGCAUGUAGGUGUGUUGGGUGCCGUGAUGUAAGUUAAGGGUUAUGAGUCCUAUUUGAGAGGCCGAAUUGGUAUUGAGUUAGUAUUUGCAAGACUCUUUUAAUUGGAUUUGUCGCGAGUCGAUGUGAAACAAGGAAGUUUUUAAAUGAGAAUCAUAAUGAGGUAAUUUUCUAUAUGUUUUGUUUGCUCAAAGGCAUGAUUAGGAAAAAAGAGAGUUUUGGCUAGGAGGUGAAGGUGAAUGAGAGUGGAUUGCACGAUGGUGUAAUUGAACGAGUAGCUAAUUUGUGGUUUUGUGCUUAUAUAUCGUUUGUUAAAAGGUGAUGUAUAUAUCCAUGGGUUAUGAAGUUGCGUAGUUUAGCGAUUUACUUGCUUGUGAUGACGGUGUUUCUAGGAUUGAUCGUGAGUCAAGAUUGUUUUGAUAACCUAUUGGUUUUGGUUGUCGCUGGUGGCUCUAAUUUCGGGGACGAAAUUUUCUAAGGGGGGGAGAGUUGUAAUACCCGUCCCGGUUAUUUAGUAUUUUAAACUCAUAUUUUAAUUGAAUUAUAUGUUUCUGGGGUUAACCUACAUGUAGUAGAAGCUCGAGGGCUUUAUAUGUGAUUUGCGAGUUGGAGUAUAAGCUGUACAUGGUUUCCUUUGGACCAAAUAAUAUCCAGGGAGAUAUUUUCUCCCUCACUCUUAUCAUUUCACGCAGGGGAGAGAGAGAGAGAGAGAGAGAGAGAGAGAGAGAGAGAGAGAGAGAGAGAGAGAGAGAGAGAGAAUCGGACGGAGAAGAAGAGAGGAAGAGGAGUUAGGAUUUGAAGCCGUUUAUCUUGAAUUAAGGUAACAAGCCGGUCAAAUAGGAGGUGCCGAAACCGUAAGUUUGGUGUAUAACUCGGUCGAUGCAAAGGUAGCAGGUGGCUUAGAGUGGGUCCACUACUGGUCAACGCUUUGGAGAGUGCUGAGACUAGUCUCGGGUGAUGUCGUUGGUUAGAUUGUUGUGUACCUGAUUCGUCUAGAAGUUAACCUAAAUGUUUGUAAUUAAUUGGAGUGAGGGAUAUUUAUUAUAACUUGUGAGUUGAGGUUUUGGGCGUUGACUUGGUUGUAUUUUAAGUAAGAAGUCUUCCGCUAAUUUGUAUUCUGAUUGGUUGUA